GGGAGUGGAUGUGGCCCGGUGGCUUCCGCGGUCUUCAAAACCGUUGUGGGGUGGUAGCCCCAUCCCAGGUGGGUUCGACUCCCAUGCACUCCCGCCA
rnacentral:tRNA from 1 species